UGAUAUGGAUGAGUGUUUCUAGCAGGCUCAAAAUAGAGGUUGUUUUCUGGAUUUGUCUUAGGAUAAAGACAAUAAAAAAGGAAAUUACUUGGACUACAGAUCUUUUGCACACAACACUAAUUUCAGACAAUUUCCUUUCUGAGAUUGAUUGUAGAAUGCUCAAUGUUUUCUUUUGUUGCAGAAUGUUCAAUGUUUUUCACGGUCCGUAAAUUAUUCCUGGUCAUUACUUCCAUAUUGAUUAUCUACUUUGUAU
rnacentral:lncRNA from 1 species